CCUACGGGAGGCUGCAGUGGGGAAUAUUGGACAAUGGGCGAAAGCCUGAUCCAGCCAUGCCGCGUGUGUGAAGAAGGCCUUCGGGUUGUAAAGCACUUUCAGUGGGGAAGAAAGCCUUGGGGCUAAUACCCUCGAGGAAGGACAUCACCCACAGAAGAAGCACCGGCUAACUCCGUGCCAGCAGCCGCGGUAAUACGGAGGGUGCGAGCGUUAAUCGGAAUUACUGGGCGUAAAGCGCGCGUAGGCGGUCUGAUAAGCCGGUUGUGAAAGCCCCGGGCUCAACCUGGGAACGGCAUCCGGAACUGUCAGGCUAGAGUGCAGGAGAGGAAGGUAGAAUUCCCGGUGUAGCGGUGAAAUGCGUAGAGAUCGGGAGGAAUACCAGUGGCGAAGGCGGUCUUCUGGACUGACACUGACGCUGAGGUGCGAAAGCGUGGGUAGCAAACAGGAUUAGAUACCCGGGUAGUC
rnacentral:rRNA from 1 species